rnacentral:misc_RNA from 1 species
CUGAGUUUUACUCUAAAACCCGCGAACCUACCUCUAUAGCUUCGGCGGCCUGCCCCGGGGGGCGCUCUACGGCCGCCGAAAGCCCAUCUGAACUCUUUUACAGGCUCUCUGAGUAAACCAUUAAAUGCUAA